UGAGUACGGCGGAACACGAGAAAUUCCGUCGGAAUCCGCGGGGACCAUCCCGCAAGGCUAAAUACUCCCUAGUGACCGAUAGUGAACCAGUACCGUGAGGGAAAGGUGAAAAGCACCCCGGAAGGGGAGUGAAAUAGAUCCUGAAACCGUGUGCCUACAACAAGUCAAAGCUCGUUAAUGAGUGAUGGCGUGCCUUUUGUAGAAUGAACCGGCGAGUUACGAUUGCAUGCGAGGUUAAGUCGAAGAGACGGAGCCGCAGCGAAAGCGAGUCUGAAUAGGGCGAAUGAGUAUGUAGUCGUAGACCCGAAACCAUGUGAUCUACCCAUGUCCAGGUUGAAGGUGCGGUAAAACGCACUGGAGGACCGAACCCACGUACGUUGAAAAGUGCGGGGAUGAGGUGUGGGUAGCGGAGAAAUUCCAAACGAACUUGGAGAUAGCUGGUUCUCUCCGAAAUAGCUUUAGGGCUAGCCUCGGAAUUGAGAAUGAUGGAGGUAGAGCACUGUUUGGACUAGGGGCCCAUCUCGGGUUACCGAAUUCAGAUAAACUCCGAAUGCCAUUCAUUUAUAUCCGGGAGUCAGACUGCGAGUGAUAAGAUCCGUAGUCGAAAGGGAAACAGCCCAGACCACCAGCUAAGGUCCCAAAAUAUAUGUUAAGUGGAAAAGGAUGUGGGGUUGCACAGACAACUAGGAUGUUGGCUUAGAAGCAGCCACCAUUUAAAGAGUGCGUAAUAGCUCACUAGUCGAGUGACCCUGCGCCGAAAAUGUACCGGGGCUAAACAUAUUACCGAAGCUGUGGACUACACCAUUAGGUGUAGUGGUAGGAGAGCGUUCUAAGGGCGUUGAAGGUCGAUCGUGAGGACGGCUGGAGCGCUUAGAAGUGAGAAUGCCGGUAUGAGUAGCGAAAGACAGGUGAGAAUCCUGUCCACCGUAUGACUAAGGUUUCCUGGGGAAGGCUCGUCCGCCCAGGGUUAGUCGGGACCUAAGCCGAGGCCGAUAGGCGUAGGCGAUGGACAACAGGUUGAUAUUCCU
rnacentral:rRNA from 1 species